rnacentral:lncRNA from 1 species
UGCCGCUUCUGGCAGCAGCUCUCCUACUGGCCCUGAUCGCUCUCUUAUUUGUUUUGGUACCCUACAUCCACAGGAGGCGUUGCACUUCAAAGUUUAUCAAGACCAUUUGUUGCCAAGGCCCACAGUACUCAGUGGACGAUGAUGGAGGAAACUCUGGCGAGGCUGAGGCCAACGCCGCUAAAGAUAAACCGACACGUCUGC